rnacentral:rRNA from 1 species
UACAGGGGGGGCAAGCGUCGUUCGGAAUUACUGGGCGUAAAGGGUUUGUAGGUGGCCACUUAAGUCAGACGUGAAAUCCCUCAGCUUAACUGGGGAACUGCGUCUGAUACUGAAUGGCUUGAGUGCAGGAGAGGAACGCGGAAUUCCAGGUGUAGCGGUGAAAUGCGUAGAUAUCUGGAGGAACACCGGUGGCGAAGGCGGCGUUCUGGACUGUAACUGACACUGAAAAACGAAAGCCAGGGGAGCAAACGGG